CACGUAGGGGCCAAGCGUUGUCCGGAAUUAUUGGGCGUAAAGCGCGCGCAGGUGGUUCCUUAAGUCUGAUGUGAAAGCCCACGGCUCAACCGUGGAGGGUCAUUGGAAACUGGGGAACUUGAGUGCAGAAGAGGAAAGUGGAAUUCCAAGUGUAGCGGUGAAAUGCGUAGAGAUUUGGAGGAACACCAGUGGCGAAGGCGACUUUCUGGUCUGUAACUGACACUGAGGCGCGAAAGCGUGGGGAGCAAACAGG
rnacentral:rRNA from 1 species